GCGGGGAUAGCUCAGUUUAGAGAGUGUUAGACUGAAGAUCUAAAGGGCACGUGUUCGAUCCACGUUCACCGCA
rnacentral:tRNA from 1 species